UGUGGGAGUGCCCAACAUUAUACGAGGGAGUGUUCGAGGAACCAGAACCAGACCAAACCUCCUAUCUAGGGCAGGGCUUACAAACUCACUCAACAAGAUGCAGAAGUUGACCUAAAUGUGGUAUAGGGUACGUACACUAUUUGUAAUCAUCUUGCAUAUGUUUUGAUUGAUACUGAUGCCUCACAUUCAUUUGUUUCACAUAUUUUUGUAUUAAACUUGAAUGUAUUACCUAAAAGUCUUGAUUCUG
rnacentral:lncRNA from 1 species